CCGGUCUGUUGCCAUGACGCCACUGCCGGCAACCAGAGAUGGCGUCAUUUUUGGGGAGAGCGGGAUGCGACAGGCGGUUGGUACCAUAGAUGGAUGAAAGCCAUAGAGGAGCUAUAAAAAGGGCUCCAAGCAUUUCAGCUGCAAUCUCUGAUGAAGCCUUAUUGAGGCGAAACGCGUUGAGAGACUGACCAGACGACCAAUCUUUCCUCACACCCACCAACAACCUUUUAGAAAAAAGUGGAGAAGCAUCCAUAUAUUAAAUGGGCAUUCCUGCAAGAAUACCUGGAUGAGUGAUCAAUAGUGAUAUGCACUUUAUAUUUCUAUAUCUGGUAUGCGUGCUACUUGUACAAUAAUUGUGAAUAUCCUUACUGGUGAUUUGACUACUACGCUAUGUAGCGAAUGUCUAUAUCUCUUACUAUACCUAGAUCCUGAGAUUGCAGAAUCCAGGAGAAAGAGAGACUGAUAUACUAUAUGCCAAGCCGUAACACGGAGGAAACCGGAGUACCCGGAGGAAACCCACGCAAGUACGGGGAGGAUAUACAAACUCCACACAGUUAGGGCCAUGGUGGGAACUGUUUUUGUCCUGGGGGAUUGUAAGUCAGUGCUGAUGCAUGAGAUCCAGGUGGCAAUUGCCUCUCAGAUCCUCACAUUGCUGCAUAUUUGCAUUAGGAAUUACUCCCUAUGUAUGCAGCUAUUGUUUGUUAAAUUCUCUGGUUUCAGAUCCGGUUCUGGAUGGUUCCCUGAAUGAAAGCAAAUAAACCUCCUACAAUCUUUAUGACACAAAUGUAUGUAAUAGAGUCUAUUUUUUAUUUUUUAUAAAUGUUACAAAUUAGCUUCACUCUUAAAUAUUAUCAUACAGUACAGUACGUGGGGUUUUAUUGUACUAACCAAUCCCAAAUUAGAUAGACAGGCUCAAAAUAAAAAGUAAAAAUGAGUAUCAAAUAUACAGUAUGGGGCUGGUGUAUAUUAAGUCCCAAUACUAAUGAUGCAGACAGUAAGUCCCAAUGGGUGGUCUUCAGUAUGCCGACUGUCGGGAUCCCUGCGCACAGUAUACCGACGCUGGAAUACUGACAGCCGGCAUACGGACACUUUUUCUCCCUCGUGGGGGUCCACGACCCCCCUGGAGGGAGAAUAAAAUAGCGUGGCGAGCGCAGCGUGACGAGCGCAGCGAGCCCGCA